rnacentral:lncRNA from 7 species
GCAAUGCAUAGCCAGACCUCUUCAGGAUCAGAGCUGGACAAGGAAGCGAUCAAAAGCAGCAAACAAACCUAAAUUAAAAUUGGAAUGAUGAAGCCUAUAAGACUUUGCGUUAAUCCUGCAUGUUGUGCCUCCAGACAUCUGUCAGCCCCCAUAUACAGCCAAUUCUCAGGGCUAGCUGUGGAUAGAGGAAGAAAUGUGCCACUUUACAAAUACUGCCAGCAAGAGCCUUGGAAUUAUCUUCUACAAGGACAAAAACAUGAGAGGUACUGCUUCCUGCCUUUCAGAGGCAAGCCAAACUACUUCACAAACUGGGGGCUUAAACAGGAAAGGAGAUGAUACUGCCUCAAACCCCGCUUCCCGCAGUACCUCAAUACUUCCGUCCACAAAAUCAUCAGGUGCAAGCACACCAAAAGCCACAAGUCAUCCUGCUUGAUCCUCAGUUACCAGCAGCAUUCAAACAUCAAAAUCAGAGCCUCAUCCACCAAGCUGCAAAACUUCUGUAAGGGCCACCUACCUCAUUCCUACAAUCAGUGCCUUUCAGCCCUUGGAAAAUACCUAAGCAGUGAAAUUUUGAAGCUGACCUCUUCCACUCAUGAUAACAGAUCUUUCUCCUUCUCCAAGGAGAAAUGAGUUUACAUACUCCAUGCAAUGCGUAUUCAGAUUUCUUCAUUCCCUUACUCCCAGUGGGCUGCCAAGUGCUUGUUGAAUGUGAGUCUUGUGUACCUCAGGUAGGCACAUCAUUCCUUCAGUUUGAUGUGCAUUAUCAGCAUAACUUUGUGCUGCCGACAAUUCCUACUGUCACUCCAGGUGAGAGCAAUAUGAACAUGUCCAGCUGCUUUGGAGUUCAGAUCCUCCAGUUGGCUAUAAUUUAAGUCAUUGUAUUCAACAGUGCAUUUUAACAACAAACCUAGAAAUCUAAUAAUGAAAACCAGUAAUCGUCAUCCUGCAACGGACAUUUCAAGAUCAGGGAACACAUUUGUACAUAUCCACUUACACUGGUUUCAGACAUGGCCAGAGGCUUUAACUUACUGAUUACAAAAACCCAAACUCUCCAGUUACCCAUAAAACACGAAUAAUUUCAUCAGGGACACAACAAGCUUUUCCUUGAUGCAGCCUCCUCUGUUUGUCCUUUCAAUUCAAACUCAAACUGAUUUCUAGACAAUAAAUGAGUCUUAGC